rnacentral:rRNA from 1 species
AUUCCAGCUCCAAUAGCGUAUAUUAAAGUUGUUGCAGUUAAAAAGCUCGUAGUUGAACUUCGGAACCGGUCGAUUGGUCCGUCCUCUGGAUUGUGUACUGAUCGAUCUGUUCUUCUUCGCGAAGACCGCGUGUGCCCUUAACUGGGUGUGCACGGGAUUCACGACGUUUACUUUGAAAAAAUUAGAGUGUUCAAAGCAGGCAUUCGCUUGAAUAUCUCAGCAUGGAAUAAUAGAAUAGGACUUUGGUCUUAUUUUGUUGGUUUCCGAGACCGAAGUAAUGAUUAAUAGGGACAGUUGGGGGCAUCCGUAUUUCAUUGUCAGAGGUGAAAUUCUUGGAUUUAUGAAAGACGAACUUCUGCGAAAGCAUUUGCCAAGGAUGUUUUCAUCA